rnacentral:lncRNA from 10 species
UUCCUUCUACCAAGAUGGAGCUGUACACAGUACAACGCAAAGCCUAAUAACUGGAGCAACAUCCGUGAAGAAGGAAGGAAGUCGGCGGUCUCGCUUGCAUUCAAGAGGAAAGGAUGUGAAGGUUAGGAGCAUGAGGGCCCCCUGGCUUCUAUUCACCACACGAUCUACCAUCCCAUUUUACAGAAACAGUGUCUGAAAUGAUGGCUUGCUAGAAUUCCCAUGGUGGAAGACAAACCCAUCUUUAAACACCAGUCUCUGGGUCUCUCCUGACUCCACUGCUUCUCCAGUGCAGGGCAUAGAAGACAACCUUGAGUCAUGACUCAUGGAAAAUGGCUAAUGUCCUCCCAGAUUACUGAGCAAUUCAUUCUUCACUUUCCAGAGUUCUUCCAAAUAUAGAUUAUUGGUGCUGCACUAGCAAUGUCCUGGGAACACUCAGCUUUUCAGUUCAGCUUUCUUUUUCCUAUAAUGAACUUGAUUAUAUAUGGCUAAGUUUUAGAUAGAAUUUUCAGUUCAGCUUUUUCUUGUAAUGAACUUGAUUAUAUAGGGCUAAAUUUUAUAUAGAAUUAAAGCCAAAAAACUGGAACUCCUGGUG